GUGUGUGCAUGUGCACAAUUCUGCCUUCCACUCCCAACUUUAGCCAUGAAUGGAUGUAGACACACCUUCAAAUUAUCAUUUGCAUAUAAAACCUCUGU